rnacentral:misc_RNA from 1 species
UAAUGUAAACAAAGUAACCAAAUGUUUUAUUAAUUGGUUGGUGCAAUGACAUUAUACGAGUUAAUGUUAAAUAUUAAGUAAAUGACGCUUUAAUUUCCUGUUUAGCUGUAAGUUUAGAAAGGGAGAUAUUAUUUGAAACAGUUAGCUUUUGGUCUGUUCUAGAAUUUCAUAGUUAAAAAAUUGUGCUAAUAUGGGUGAAAUGGCAAAUUAUCCUCCAGUUACUCCAAAUGCUCCUCCCCCAGGUUUAAAUCCUGCUUAUUAUCCUGGUGCUCCAGAUGUAAAUUAUCAGCCUGGUUAUCCCCCAAAUGCUGCACCUUAUCCACCUGGAGGACAGGGCUAUCCUCCAGCUAAUCAAGGAUAUCCACCUUCUAGUGGCUAUCCUGCACCUGCAUCUGGAUAUCCAGCACCUAUGGGUGAAGGUUAUCCUCCUGCAGGUGGAUAUGCUGCACCAGGUGGUUAUCCUCAACCGCCUGCCAUGACACAACAGCCUACUGCUGGAGGUUAUCCUCCAUCAUCUGGAUACCCAGCUCCUCAACCAGGAAUGCAACCUCCUGUGGAAGGAAACUGGAUGCCUGUGCCUACAGGAAUUCCUGUUUGCCCCCCUGGAUUAGAAUACUUAACUAUGAUAGAUCAGCUUUUGGUUCAUCAAAAAGUGGAGCUUCUGGAAGCAUUGUUAAGUUUUGAAACAAAAAACAAGUACACCAUAAAGAACAGCAUGGGUCAAAAGGUAUAUACAGCUAAAGAAGAUACUGAUUGCUGCACUCGAAAUUGUUUGGGAUCAGCUCGUCCUUUUGAUAUGAAAUUAAAGGACAUGAGUGGCAAUGAAGUUAUUCAUCUAUAUAGACCACUACGAUGUUCCAGUUGCCUCUGCUUUUGCUGUCUGCAGAAAAUGGAAGUAAUGGCCCCUCCAGGCAAUGUCAUAGGUUAUGUUGAACAAGAGUGGAGUAUUCUUACUCCACAAUUUAGAAUUCAAAAUGCUGCAGGAGAAACUGUUUUAAAAAUUGAAGGUCCUAUCUGCACUUUUUCCAUCUGUGGGGAUGUGGAAUUUAAAGUCCUUUCCAAAGAUGGUAGCGUUGAAGUUGGAAAAAUUUCCAAGCAAUGGUCAGGAUUACUGAGAGAAUAUUUCACUGAUGCCGAUCAUUUUGGUAUCACUUUUCCUCUAGAUUUAGAUGUAAAUAUAAAAGCAGUUUUACUUGGAGCUCUUUUCCUCAUUGAUUAUAUGUUCUUUGAGAAAGAAGGAAACAAAGAAAAUGAUAUGCCAGGCAUGCUGUGAAAAUAUUUUUUUUUGUUAAAAAGUGCAUUUUUGAUCCUAUAAAUAUGAAGUGCUACUAAAUAGCACUCCUUAUUAUAUCCAUUUAAAUUGUGUAACAUAUUCUAAACUCUUCUAAUAGUUUAAAUUUAUGCAAAUGUAAGUAUUCUUUUGCAAAUAAUUUUAAAAAAGCAUUUUUCAUUUGCACUUUAUAAGAAAUAAUAUUUUAUAUAAAAAGAGGUUUAAAAUAAGUUUCUGUAUCUUUUACUAGAAUGAAUAAUAUUUUGCUUGAAGAGAUUUUAAGUGUAUUAAUUCAUGUGCUUGUGUAUUAAGUGUAUUCAUUUUUGUGCCUAUUCAUUGUUUGAAAACUAUUUUGUUUGCAUAUUAUGUGGCUGUAUUGUUGUAUACUGUAAUAUUGCAUCUAAAAUAAUAUUCUUAAUUCAGUAAGCAAAGUGUUUAGACAGUUGUUAUGAAUUUUUAUAAAGUAUGCUAUAAUAGCAGCUAUGGACAUUAUCAAUUAAUUUUAAUAUUUUGUUUUAGUUAAAAACUGUAUUGCACUAACUGAAAUAAUUUAUUAAAUUGGUAUAUUAAAAAUUGAUAAUUGAAGUGUUUUUAAAAAAGUUUUUGUUGUUUUGCCCACAAUCCUUUGAGCUGCCAGGCUUCUUCGAAUCUACUUAUGAAGAGCUGUAUUUGCAUAGUUUUUGCAUACACUGCAAACUGUCUUGUGAAAUUAUAGUAUCAGAUUUUGGAAUGUGCAUAGUAUGUAUUAUAUGUAUGAUUUAUUUUGACUCUGCAUUUUUUUCUUUCAUUUAAUUUAACUGUGAUAUGUUUUUCCUGUUACUUUUACUAUUUUCUUUGUCUUGCAUAGUAUCACUCUACAUAAAAUCCUUAUUACUGGAAUUUGGCAAGUAUAUGGUGUGUUAUAUAUAAUAUAUAUAUAUAUAUAUAUUUUAUAUAUGUGAAUUUCUUUACUGCUAAAGAACAGUUUCAAAGUACAUAGAUUUUGCGUUAAUUCCUUUCACCGGAGAGAGAUUAAUUUUUUAAAAUGGUCAUAAAGGUAUUUUACUAUUAAUGUAUCACACUUUUACUAUUUUACAUCUUUCACACUUGUGAUAAUUAUUUCUCUUCUAAUAUAUGUGAGAUUUUCGUAGUUAAGAUGUAGUUUAAUUAUAUCAAUACUUUUAUUUUUGAAAUUGAUGCUGAUGACUAAAUGUUGAUGCCUGACAAUGUUUCUGUUAUGAAAGUCUAAACAGAUGAUUAGGCUUUAACUUCAUUGUUGGUGAGUUUUAUUUAAUUUUUAAUAAAUUCCUAUUAUACACUGUGUUCAUUUAUUUAGAGUUUAUGAGCUAAAGCAGCGGUUCUCAAACUUUUGAUUAAAGCGUACCAUCUAAGCAAAAAUUGAAAAACUUUAGUACCACCACUACAAAGUACUACUACCACCAUUACUCUUGAAUAAAGCUCAGAUCGUAAAAACUUACUAGUGUUAGAGAAAAACCUCAAUCAGUAUGUUGGGGUUUUAAUUUUUGAAUUUAAUAAUUAAAAAUACUUUGCUUCUUUGCAUACCACCUAUAAGUCUCUUGCAUACCACCAGUGGUACAUGUACGACCAGUUGAGAACCUCUGAUCUAAAGUAUAGUUAUAAAUAAAUAUAACAGUUAAGGAAAAAAGACUAUGUACAUAUAUUUUUUAGGAAAAAAAAAUGUUAUUAUAAGAAAAAUGUGGUUUGUACCUUUUUUGGUUUUCAUUAAUUCUUAAAUAAUUAUAUAAAGAAUCUUCUAAUUUAAUUACAUGUAUUAUUUUCUAGUUUCAUCAGUGUUUGAAAAGAUGUUUAUUUUAAUUUCACAAGAAUGACAACAAAAGUUUGCUUCUAGAUAUAGUUGUUUAUGCUACUUUAAUGAAUCGUAAUCAUCUUUCACUGCAUAAGUGACUAUUGCUCUUUCAUCACAAUUUAUUAAUUGUUAGCAUUAUUAUAUGUGAUUACUUGUGACUUGUAUUAACAUAUGAUUUGUAUGAAGUUUUGCUUAUGGCUAUAUAUUCCUAAUUUGUGCAUUAUUUUCCUUUCCUGUAAUUGAAUAUUUCACUCAAAGUUUUAUUUUUCAGUAUGCUUUUGUUAUAUUACAAAUGUGGCAUUUUAAAUGCUUAUUAAUAUUUCAUGUUAAAGUGAUAUAUUUCAAAUGCAUUUUGUAAAAAUAUCCAUGCAAUGUUUUAAAUUUAAAGAAAUAAAUUAUAUACUUCCUGUG